GAUGAACGCUGGCGGCGUGCCUAAUACAUGCAAGUCGAGCGAACAGACGAGGAGCUUGCUCCUCUGACGUUAGCGGCGGACGGGUGAGUAACACGUGGAUAACCUACCUAUAAGACUGGGAUAACUUCGGGAAACCGGAGCUAAUACCGGAUAAUAUAUUGAACCGCAUGGUUCAAUAGUGAAAGACGGUUUUGCUGUCACUUAUAGAUGGAUCCGCGCCGCAUUAGCUAGUUGGUAAGGUAACGGCUUACCAAGGCGACGAUGCGUAGCCGACCUGAGAGGGUGAUCGGCCACACUGGAACUGAGCCACGGUCCAGACUCCGACGGGAGGCAGCAGUAGGUAAUCUUCCGCAAUGGGCGAAAGCCUGACGGAGCAACGCCGCGUGAGUGAUGAAGGUCUUCGGAUCGUAAGACUCUGUUAUUAGGGAAGAACAAAUGUGUAAGUAACUAUGCACGUCUUGACGGUACCUAAUCAGAAAGCCACGGCUAACUACGUG
rnacentral:rRNA from 1 species